rnacentral:rRNA from 1 species
AAUGGACGAAAGUCUGACGGAGCAACGCCGCGUGAGUGAAGAAGGUUUUCGGAUCGUAAAACUCUGUUUUCAGGGACGAAUGUGCAAUAUGUGAAUAAUGUGUUGUAAUGACGGUACCUGACAAGAAAGCCACGGCUAACUACGUGCCAGCAGCCGCGGUAAUACGUAGGUGGCAAGCGUUGUCCGGAAUUAUUGGGCGUAAAGCGCGCGCAGGUGGGAUAUUAAGUCUGAUGUUAAAGUUCGGGGCUCAACCCCGUGAAGCAUUGGAUACUGAUAUUCUUGAGUGCAGGAGAGGAAAGCGGAAUUCCUAGUGUAGCGGUGAAAUGCGUAGAUAUUAGGAGGAACACCAGUGGCGAAGGCGGCUUUCUGGACUGUAACUGACACUGAGGCACGAAAGCGUGGGGAGCAAACAGGAUUAGAUACCCUGGUAGUCCACGCCGUAAACGAUGAGCACUAGGUGUCGGGGCCGCAAGGUUUCGGUGCCGCAGUUAACGCAUUAAGUGCUCCGCCUGGGGAGUAC